CGUAGGUGACCUGCGGAGGAUCAUUACCAGCGAAGCGCGGCGUCCGAGCUGCAAACGCAACCCACCCUUUGUGAAUUUACCCCUGUUGCUUUGGCGGGCCGCGGGGCCCACGGGCCCCCGUCGACCCCGGUGGACCAGUGCCCGUCAGAGACCCUCCAACCCACGUCAUCAGUGCAGUCCGAGUCGUAACAUAAUCGUUAAAACUUUCAACAACGGAUCUCUUGGUUCUGGCAUCGAUGAAGAACGCAGCGAAAUGCGAUAAGUAAUGUGAAUUGCAGAAUUCAGUGAAUCAUCGAAUCUUUGAACGCACAUUGCGCCCCCUGGCAUUCCGGGGGGCAUGCCUGUUCGAGCGUCAUUACACCUCUCAAGCGCAGCUUGGUAUUGGGUGCCGCCCUCCCGGGGGCGCGCCCGAAAGUCAGCGGCGACGCGGUCGGUCUUCCAGCGUAGUAAAACUCCUGUUUCGCUCACGGAGCCCGGGCGCGUCCGCCGGACAACCCCCCCAUCUUCAAUGGUUGACCUCGGAUCAGGUAGGGAUACCCGCUGAACUUAAGCAUAUCAAUAAGCGGAGGAAAAGAAA
rnacentral:rRNA from 1 species